UGUGGGAGCGAGCUUGCUCGCGAUAGCGGUGUGUCAGAAACAUCGAUGUCGGCUGACACACUGCUAUCGCGAGCAAGCUCGCUCCCACA
rnacentral:misc_RNA from 1 species